rnacentral:lncRNA from 1 species
AAAUUGUUCAAGCCUUUUAUGAGGAUUUAGGUGAUCAGUAUUGAUAGAUGGUUGAUGUAUCUUGUGGAGGUGCAUUCAUGAGUAAGAUUGAGGAUGAAGCCUAUAUCUUGUUUAAAAUUUUGAGUGAAAACUUGAUCAACCAUGCUUCAUUAUCUUCCUAUGAAAGAUCGAUCCCUCACUAAAAGCGGGCAAAAAUCUUUAAGAUCAAACAAUC